UCAUAACUGCAUGACUGGCGGAAGUAGGAAAACUACAGGGAGUGCAGUGAAGUAGAAUGUCGACCGCCUGGGCAACCGUU
rnacentral:ncRNA from 2 species